UCUUUCUUUGCUGGCGACCGGCGCACGGGUGAGUAACACGUAUCCAACCUGCCCUUUACUCGGGGAUAGCCUUUCGAAAGAAAGAUUAAUACCCGAUAGCAUAAUGAUUCCGCAUGGUUUCAUUAUUAAAGGAUUCCGGUAAAGGAUGGGGAUGCGUUCCAUUAGGUUGUUGGUGGGGUAACGGCCCACCAGCCUUCGAUGGAUAGGGGUUCUGAGAGGAAGGUCCCCCACAUUGGAACUGAGACACGGUCCAA
rnacentral:rRNA from 1 species